rnacentral:lncRNA from 1 species
GCUGCUUCCUGCUGAAUAGGGGCACUGUAGUCAGGGUUUGGGUUUUGAAGUACUGCGUGUCGUCUUCAGAGUUGUUUUCCUGGAGGCGCUGAUACCGGACUUGGUGGAGAAGGAUGGUAUGAAUGUGUUUCUAGGUGGCUGCCUGGACAAGGGAGUUCAGCCUUUGGGAGAUAAAGCAGAAUAUAAAGUUCACAGAUCUAUGGAUAGCAGGAGCCACAUCUGGACCUGUGGCUCUGCUCUCAUCUCUGCAAUUUAGAAACCACCAUGAAUUAUCAAAAAUCCUAGACUCUGAUUUGAUGUUAUGAAUGGAUAAAACUUUUCUAUUUUCUCCAAUGGGAAGACAGAGAAUAUAUGUUGCUUGCAAGAAAGAAUAAAGCAAAUAUUUG